rnacentral:sRNA from 1 species
GCUGGGUACAGUGACUCAUGCCUGUAAUCCCAGCAGCUCAGGAGGCUGAGGCAGGAAGAUAGCAAGUUCAAGACCAGCCUUAGAAAUUAAAAAAAAAAAAAUGACCAGCCUCAGCAACUUUAUCAAGGCCCUAAGAAACUUAGCAAGACCCUGUCUCAA